ensembl:lncRNA
AGGAAAUGGCCCAAAUAAACAUUUCUUAAACCAUCAGCUGCUUGAACAGUUUCUUUUUAAGCACAUCUACAUAGUAAUAAUAACAAAUCUGGUUUUACAAUUUAAAUUAUUCCCUCGACUUUUCAAAGUGUAGAAAAACUGCAUGCUGUUACCCUCUUGGGCAUUCUGAGAAAAAGAACUUUAAGUGCAAUCGAUGGCACACUUCAACACGUUUAUGAAAUAUGCAAAACUGUCACAUUCGUCUCUUUGAGAAAUGGGAAGUCACAACAUAUUGUCGAAUCUCAUAUAGGAGGGCUAUGAGAUUCACAUGGUGCUGUGCUGGCUAUUCUGCCACCUGCAAUUGGCUUGAGUUGGGUUUUCUGUUGCUGGUGACACAGUCCCACGCAUUCUUGGAAGCAUCGUCGUUCCCAACCAGGCAAAUACUGACAGUCAUUAUUUGCUUUACUCCCCAAAUGCUGCUGUUAGAGCUUUAUAUGUGGGCAGGCUUUCAUAACACGGCUUUGUUAUUGUUGAUGUGUGAUUUAAGAGAAUUUAUUUUUUCUAUUGUCAUGUUCCUGCUAACAAAGCUAGCUGCUAAACUGAAGCUAGUGAGCCGCUGCUAUUCAAAGUAACUGAUGAAUUGACUGUUGUGUGUUUUUCCUUUUGUCUAUGUAAAUUUAUCAAAUUAAAAACUGUGUUGCACUUUCUAUACAUAAAAAAAGAGUUACCACAUGAUUUUUUUUCCUGCUGGAGGACAAUUUGAAACACAGGCUCUCUUACACGUCAUGACUCUCAAAGAAGGAGCAACAAGAAAAUAUUCUGGUUCCACCCACUACAACCUUUUUUCCCCAAUUUUCCCAAAUGCUAUUCAAAGUAAGUGAUGAACUGACUGUUGUGUAUUUUUCCUUUUGAUUUGACUGUGUUGCAGUUUGUAUUAAAAAAAUUAUGCUAAUCUUUUAUUUUGUGAUACUUUGUUUCUUCUUGACAUGUGGCCCAUUGUAACUAAUUGAACAGCUGAUCUUUAUGAUAAAGAAUAAAAUUUCACUGUUACUGUCCCAAUUUUUACAAUUCUGUUGGUCAAAUUCCC